rnacentral:rRNA from 1 species
CCUACGGGAGGCAGCAGUAGGGAAUAUUGCACAAUGGGGGAAACCCUGAAGCAGCAACGCCGCGUGGGUGAUGAAGGUUUUCGUAAUGUAAAGCUCUAUUAUUAGAGAAGAUAAUGACGGUAUCUGAGUAAUAAGCACCGGCUAACUACGUGCCAGCAGCCGCGGUAAUACGUAGGGGGCAAGCGUUACCCGGAGUUACUGGGCGUAAAGGGCGCGUAGGCGGGAGUGCAAGUCAGGAGUGAAAGUCGGGGGCUCAACCACCGGACUGCAUUGGAAACUGUUCGGCUGGAGUGCAGGAGAGGUAGGUGGAAUUCCUGGUGUAGCGGUAAAAUGCGUAGAGAUUAAGAGGAACAC